GACGAACUCUGGCGGCGUGCUUAACACAUGCAAGUCGAACGAAGUGGCGAACGGGUGAGUAAUACGUGUGUAACCUGCCCUCCUUUUUGGGAUAAGCCUUGGAAACGGGGUCUAAUACCUAAUAAAGGGGGAUGGGCUCGCGGCCUAUCAGCUUGUUGGUGGGGUGAUGGCCUACCAAGGCGGUGACGGGUAGCCGGCCUGAGAGGGUGACCGGCAACAUUGGGACAGAGGUAGCGCCCAGGCUCUAGCGAUAGGCGGCAGUGAGGCAGAGAACACAAGGGGGGAAAGGAAGGAGCAGGGAUGCGGAGUGGAGGAGGAAGGCGUUUGGGAUGAAAACGUCUUUCGCUAUCGAGCGGGUAGGUGGAGAAGAAGCGCAGGCUAUCUACGUGCAAGCCGCCGCGGUAAUUC
rnacentral:rRNA from 1 species